CCCGCUGAACUUAAGCAUAUCAAUAAGCGGAGGAAAAGAAACUAACAAGGAUUCCCCUAGUAACUGCGAGUGAAGCGGGAAAAGCUCAAAUUUAAAAUCUGGCAGUGGCUCACUGCUCAAGUUGUGAUCUAGAGAAGUGUUGCUCACACUGGACCAUGUAUAAGUCUUCAGGAUUGAAGCGUCUUAGAGGGUGAGAAUUCCGUCUUUGACAUGGGCUCGUCAGUGUAUCAGUAGUAUGCUCUCAGAGAGUCGAGUUGUUAGGGAAUGCAGCUUUAAAUGGGUCGUCACCUCCCUCUAAAGCUAAAUACUGGCGAGAGACCCAAAGUGAACAAGUGCCGUGAGGGAAAGAUGAAGAGAACUUUGGAAAGAGAUUUAAAAAGUAGGUGAAAAUGUUGAAAGGGAAACGCUUGAAGUCCGUCACAUUGGCCAGGGAUCAACUCGCGUAACUGUACUUCCUGGUUGAUGGGCCAACAUCAGCUUUGACUGUCAGAGAAGGGUAGGGGGAAUGUGGCACCCUCCUGGGUGUGUUAUAGCCCUCUGUCAUAUAUGGUCGUUGGGGCUGAGGAAAGCAGCGCGCCACAAGGCCGGGUUUCGACCACGUUCGCGCUUAGGAUGCUGGCAUAAUGGCUUUAAUCGACCCGUCUUGAAACACGG
rnacentral:rRNA from 1 species